rnacentral:rRNA from 1 species
GACGUAGGGCGCGAGCGUUGUCCGGAUUUAUUGGGCGUAAAGAGCUCGUAGGCGGCUUGUUGCGUCGACUGUGAAAACCCGCAGCUUAACUGCGGGCCUGCAGUUGAUACGGGCAGGCUAGAGUUCGGUAGGGGAGACUGGAAUUCCGUGGUGGUAGCGGUGAAAUGCGCAGAUAUCAGGAGGAACACCGGUGGCGAAGGCGGGUCUCUGGGCCGAUACUGACGCUGAGGAGCGAAAGCGUGGGGAGCGAACAGG